GGUAGUGGUGGCUAAGUGGUUAAUAUGUUGGACUCUUGAUCAGAAGGUCAUGAGUUCAAAUCUCAGCACUGCCA